UGCAGUCGACGAUGAUGCCCAGCUUGCUGGGUUGAUUAGUGGCGAACGGGUGAGUAACACGUGAGUAACCUGCCCCUGACUCUGGGAUAAGCGUUGGAAACGACGUCUAAUACUGGAUAUGAUCGCCGGCCGCAUGGUCUGGUGGUGGAAAGAUUUUUUGGUUGGGGAUGGACUCGCGGCCUAUCAGCUUGUUGGUGAGGUAAUGGCUCACCAAGGCGACGACGGGUAGCCGGCCUGAGAGGGUGACCGGCCACACUGGGACUGAGACACGGCCCAGACUCCUACGGGAGGCAGCAGUGGGGAAUAUUGCACAAUGGGCGAAAGCCUGAUGCAGCAACGCCGCGUGAGGGAUGACGGCCUUCGGGUUGUAAACCUCUUUUAGUAGGGAAGAAGCGAAAGUGACGGUACCUGCAGAAAAAGCACCGGCUAACUACGUGCCAGCAGCCGCGGUAAUACGUAGGGUGCAAGCGUUGUCCGGAAUUAUUGGGCGUAAAGAGCUCGUAGGCGGUUUGUCGCGUCUGCUGUGAAAUCCCGAGGCUCAACCUCGGGCUUGCAGUGGGUACGGGCAGACUAGAGUGCGGUAGGGGAGAUUGGAAUUCCUGGUGUAGCGGUGGAAUGCGCAGAUAUCAGGAGGAACACCGAUGGCGAAGGCAGAUCUCUGGGCCGUAACUGACGCUGAGGAGCG
rnacentral:rRNA from 1 species